rnacentral:rRNA from 1 species
AGUGGUGGACGGGUGAGUAACGCGUGAGAAUCUGCCUUGGGGUCGGGGACAACCACUGGAAACGGUGGCUAAUACCGGAUACGCCUUCGGGUAAAAGAUUUAUUGCCCUAAGAGGAGCUCGCGUCUGAUUAGCUAGUUGGUGAGGUAAGAGCUCACCAAGGCAGCGAUCAGUAGCUGGUCUGAGAGGACGAUCAGCCACACUGGGACUGAGACACGGCCCAGACUCCUACGGGAGGCAGCAGUGGGGAAUUUUCCGCAAUGGGCGAAAGCCUGACGGAGCAAGACCGCGUGAGGGAGGAAGGCUCUUGGGUUGUAAACCUCUUUUCUCAGGGAAGAAGCUCUGACGGUACCUGAGGAAUCAGCCUCGGCUAACUCCGUGCCAGCAGCCGCGGUAAUACGGAGGAGGCAAGCGUUAUCCGGAAUUAUUGGGCGUAAAGCGUCCGCAGGUGGCGAUUCAAGUCUGCUGUCAAAGCACGGGGCUUAACUCCGUAAAGGCAGUGGAAACUGAAUAGCUAGAGUGCCGUAGGGGUAGAGGGAAUUCCCGGUGUAGCGGUGAAAUGCGUAGAGAUCGGGAAGAACAUCGGUGGCGAAAGCGCUCUACUGGACGGCAACUGACACUCAGGGACGAAAGCUAGGGGAGCGAAUGGGAUUAGAUACCCC